rnacentral:rRNA from 1 species
UACGUAGGUGGCAAGCGAUACUCGGAAUCACUAGGCGUAAAGCGCAGGUAGGCGGUUCGGUAAGUCUUUUGUGAAAGCUCCCGGCUCAACUGGGAGAGGUCAAGGGAAACUACCGGACUAGAGUGUGGUAGGGGAUACUGGAAUUCCUGGUGUAGCGGUGAAAUGCGUAGAUAUCAGGAGGAACACCUAUGGCGAAAGCAGGUAUCUGGGCCAUCACUGACGCUGAGCUGCGAAAGCUAGGGGAGCAAACAGG